rnacentral:tRNA from 1 species
AAAAAAUUAGUUAAUUUAUAACCUUAGUAUGUCAAACUAAAAUAACUAAUAUAUUAGUAUUUUUUA